UACGGAGGAUGCGAGCGUUAUCCGGAUUUAUUGGGUUCAAAGGGUGCGUAGGCGGACUGUCAAGUCAGCGGUAAAAUUGAGAGGCUCAACCUCUUCCCGCCGUUGAAACUGGUGGUCUUGAGUGGAUGAGAAGUACGCGGAAUGCGUGGUGUAGCGGUGAAAUGCAUAGAUAUCACGCAGAACUUCGAUUGCGAAGGCAGCGUACCGGCAUCCAACUGACGCUGAGGCACGAAAGCGUGGGGAUCAAACAGG
rnacentral:rRNA from 1 species